rnacentral:lncRNA from 1 species
CCCCUGUAACCUAGAGCUUGUAGAAAUGAGAAAAUUAAACCAUAUCCAGCAGGGCACAGAGCGUGCACAUUGUCCUUCCGAGUAGAUUCAAAAGGAGCUGGUAGUCAUGCAUCAGAUGGUGUGGCAGUCUUACUGUUAAGGGACAAGCUAAGGGCUGACUGCUCUCCCCCACGAGUGGAAGUGCCAAAGUGGGUUUAUCUUUACUGCAGGUCUCCUGUGUGCUGGAAUCUGUGCUAGGCACUGUUCCUGCUUUAUUUCAAUGAACACUUGUAGCAAUCUGAAAGGUCAUAUUGGCUAAGGACUUGAGCUCUGGAUCUAAAGCAGGCCUUGUUUUCAAUCUCAGAUUCAGCACUUUCCAAGAGUGUCUUUGUAGCCCAUUGCCGGGCUUCUUUUCUCUUUUUUUUUUUUUUUUUUUUUGAGACAGAGUCUCGCUCUGUCGACCAGGCUGGAGUCCAACGGCCCGAUCUCGGUUCACUUCAACCUCUGCCUCCUGGGUUCAAGCAAUUCUCCCGCCUCAGCCUUCCGAGUAGCUGGGAUUACAGGCGCGUACAACCACGCCCAGCUAAUUUUUGUAUUUUUAGUAGAGAUGAGGUUUCGAGGUUUCACCAUGUUGCCCAGGCUGGUUUUGAACUCCUGGGCUCAAGCGAUCUGCCCUCCUCAGCCUCCCAAAACGGUCGGAUUAUAGGCGUGAACCACCGCACCCAGCCGCCUGGAAUUUUUAAGCCUCAAGUUUGUUCCACUUUGAAUGCAAGAAGCCACCUCAUAGAUGGAGUCUCGCUCUGUCACCCAGAUGGGAGUACAAUGGUGCAAUCUCAGCUCACUGCAACCUCCGCCUCCCAGGUUCAAGCGAUUCUCCUGCCUCAGCCUCCCAAGUAGCUGGGAUUACUGUUGUGCACUGCCAUGCCCAGCUAAUUUUUGUAUUUUUAGUAGAGACGGGGUUUCACCGUGUUGGCCAAACUGGCCUUGAACUCCUGACUUCAAGUGGUCCACCCGUGCCGGCCUCCCAAAGCGUUGGGAUUACAGGCAUAAGCCACCGCACCAGCAUUAAUUCUUUUACAAGCUGUCCAGGAUGGGCCCUAAUACACUAUCCCCAUGAUAAGCAUAACUUGCAUUCCAUUUCCUCUAAUAAGGGUGUCUCCACAGUGGAUUAAAUGCCUCAGCCAGAUGCACAAUAGACUAGUCAUCAUUUUCACAAGCUCCAGUUAAACCACACGAGUAAGGGCAUAGGAGGUCAAAGGGGGCUGCUGAUGAUGAAGAAACCGGGCUGCCAGGAGGAAGGCAAAUAAGAGCAAGAGUGUUUUCCACUAGUAGGUCACCUUACAGAUACUGACAUAUCUGUCUCCUGGCUAGGCACUCCUUCCUCUCCACCACUCCAGGAAAGAUGGUCCACCCGGUGUGGGAUCCAACCACAGCUUACAGACACAACAAAAACUUCCUGUGAGAGCUUGAGACUGCCGAAAACACAUCUAGUUUUGCUUUAUUCUUGCUACUUGGAACUACAGCCUGGGAACAGAUACACUGAAUUACUGCGACAGCCAGAGAGAAAAUCAUGAAAUAGGAGGAGGGAGGAAGAAGAGUCAACUGGGAAAAGGGAAAGGAAAUUAAAUGAACAGAGAAUCAAUUAUAUGUGAGCCUGUCUCUGCUUCAUAUGUUAUACAAUUUAAGCACCAAGUGUCAUUGUCCUCAUUUCACAUAUGAGUUGACGGAAGCUUAGAAAAGCCUAGCAACAGGACCAAAUGCUUUGACUCUACUUUGCAAACUCUUUCCACAUAAUCAUGGCAGGAUCCGCAUGAUCCUGAACUGGAGAAACAAUAUAGUCAACUAAUGCUCUGUAUGUGUCUCAGAAAUAGCUUUGCUGCUGGGUGCCACUGGUACAUGCAAUGUAACCACAGACAGGCCAAUGAGGCCUAAAUCUGUUAGAUGUCAGGCUGCAGAGAUGGAUGAUGCCAGAAGGAUCAAGGUGAAGGGCGUGAACUCUAGAGUCGAGCUGUCCAAGGCUGAUUUCUGACUGCAAGACUCACUGGCAAAGUGACCCUGACAAUAACACGUGCUCUCCAACCUUCAGCAUCCUCAGCUGUAAAUGGACUAACAGCACUUGCCUCAGGUGCCAGUGGGUGUUUAGCCCAGUGCCUGGCACACGGCAAGUUCUUUAGUGUUAUUAAGUUCUUUGAUAAUUAAAUUUCCCCAGUUGUGUAAUUAAGCCAAUGGCAGGAAAAGAUCAUAAAUACAGAUAAGCUCCAAAUAAACCUUGGCACAAGAAAAGGCCUCCUGUCUCCUGGUAUGCUGUAGGGUGGCAGGAAGCAUGUUACUCUAACCAUCACAAAAAAGCAGAGGCUCUGAUAAGUGAUUACUCCAACCGCAAUAACCCAAGAGAUGAAACUCCCUCAUUCUGAAUGGCCAGUUCCGAUUCCCUAUCCAAUGAGCAACUGAGUCUAAAUCCCAUCAAUGAAGCCUACAAAAGGGACAAAAGUCAGCAACCAACAUCACAGCCCACUCAAGCUCAGAGAGCUGCCCUGCUCACCAAGAGAAGGCAAGUCAAGAGCUAAGGGCAAAUGGGGAACCCUUUGAGACUGGCCUCAGAAAGAAGGCCAACGGUGGACCUAAAUUUCACAUUUCUCAAACACUUAUUCUGCGAGCUUGUAAAAAGCAGUCUCUUCAACACCUGGGUCUUCUGAGCUCAGCAAAAAGUGCCAGGUUCGAGGAUACCCAGAAUUCUCCCUCAUCUUUCACUUUGAACUGAGCUGGCCUGCUGCAAAUAUUGUUUCAAUAUCACAUCAUGACACUUUAUUCUAGUACUUAGCUUGAUGCCUUCUGCAGAGCAAGCACUCAGUAAAUAUUUGUUGAUUACACCAACAGAAUUAUUUUAUUUUUAAAAAACACUGACACAAUCUGCAAUAUGAAUCUUCUUUCUCACGGGAGCUAUGUUUAGUUAUUUUUAGGAUAUCCCUGCAGAAAUGCACAAAAAGAGGGAGAAAAGAAGAAAAAGAGGAAAAGGAAGAAGAGUAGAAGAGAGAGAGAGGAUAAGAGAGCUAAUUUUUAGGCACCUGAAGAAGAAGAAGAAAAAAAGACUAUUGAAGACAAGGUGUUAGAAAUGAGGCACGAUGGCUCUGAGAUCAAAAAUGGCACCAUAUUGCAAGAGGGAGAGAGAGACCCAAAUUAACAUCCUUUCCUUGCAAAUGGUUCUGUCCUAUAGCAGAGUAUACUAAAGAAUACUGCUUAGAAGUCCUAACAGAGCUAGAUCUUGCCAUCAUUAGAGAUUGCCUCAACAAUUUUCAAGCCCUGAGAUUUACCCUUUACAAUUUUCUAUUUUAGGACCUAAGGGGCAGGUAGGAGAACUUUCACUUUUUACUUUAUCCCUUUUCUUAUUCCUUUAUUUAUUUAUUACAAUGGGUAGGUACCAAUUUAGUAUUUAAAAACUAAUUAUCUCCCUUCAGAACUAGAAGAGAUCUUGAAAAUAAUUAAUUUCAGUGGUCUUCUUUGUUGGAGAGAAAACCAUGGGCUUACAAGAGAUCAAGCUGAGUCUGGGAUGCAGGCUUCCUAACUUGGGGGCCAGUGUUCAUUCAGCUUCCUGGAUCACAUCAACAGUCUCAGAGCACUGGGUGGCAGAGGCCAAGGAGGAGCGACAAAGUGUGAUGAGUUUAUUCUGGCUAGAGUGGAUCCUGAUCCCCUAAUAGUGAAUCAUCUACAAUUUUACAACAUGACCACCAGAAAGCAUAUACAUAUAAUGUCCCAAAGUCAAGAGCAAUCUGAAGAAAAAUUUCUUCCCACAAUUUAUGAAUUAUUUCUCAUAACAGUAGGGAGGCUAUGCUGGAAACCAUGAGCUAGGUUCCAGGUAAUUGGUGCAUAAGAACUAAAUAAGACAAGGAUAAAUUUAUGUGAUAGAGCUAACAAUGGGACAACUGAGCAUUUCUUAAAAUGUGGCCGCGCACAGUGGCUCAUGCCUAUAAUCCCAGCACUUUGGGAGGCUGAGACAGGUGGAUCACUGAAGGUCAGGAGUUCGAGACCAGCCUGGACAACAUGUUAAAACCCUGUCUCUAAUAAAAAUACAAAAAUUAGCUGGGUGGUCGCGUGUACCUGUAAUUUCAGCUACUUGGAAGGCUGAGGCAGGAGAAUCGCUUGAACCCGGGAGGUGGAGGUUGCAGUGAGCAAAGACUGCACCACUACCCCCAAGCCUGGGUGACAGAAAGAGACUCCAUUUUUUUUAAAAGGUGUCAGACAGUCCAAGAGAACACAAUGCAUGCCAGGGUUCUGGUUCCCCUAGCUUCCCUGUCCCCUUCGCUAGAAAUUAACAUCAAACCACAGAAAAUGCCUCAGUAACUACUUCUUCAGCUCAUCUCCAGUCUAGGGGCCCCAGUAUAUAGUGGCAGUUCAGGGUAUCUCCUUCUGUUUUUCAGACACUUCAACUGUUCCAAAGACCUGGGCAAAAUCUCCCUUUUUUAAACCAUGUGGAGAAUCUUCUUUCCUAUUGUCAUUAGUUAAGUAUAAAAUCAAAAGCAGAGACUCUCUUUAACCAGUACAGCCUCUUUUCCAGAGAAUGCCAAGGAGACGCUAACCCAGUUUGGUCCUGAGCUGGUUUCCAUCUCCAUGAUUCAUGCCAUAAAUGUCAUCCUCAGCAAAGAGAGGAUCUGGUGGCCUGCUACUCUCAGCUUCUUACUCUGGGAGGGAAGUAGGAAGUGGUAAGGAUAAUUCCUUGGAUUUACUUCAUCAAUGACUCUAUAAUAAGUAAUAAGGGUAGAACACAUUACAAUUCACAAAAUAAUUCCACAAACAUUAUCUCACUUGCUUUUAAUAACAACAUUGGAAGAAUGAACAACUCAUUCCAGUGAGGAAUUUAAGACUCAGAGGUUAAAUAAAGCUGAAUAUGGGAAAGAUUAGGCAAUUUGCCCACCUCAGGACUUGAACUUUGGUGGGCAGGCUUUAGCUCUAAAGUUCUUCUAUACCAAAGCUGUGUCAACAUUAAAGCUGGGACUGGACUUCCAAUCUGAGGACCCAGAAGAGUCAGCAUAUCCUACUUAACUUCUAAGGGUAGGGUGGCGGGGUAUGAUUUCUUUAUUUUGAACUAUAAUUUAUAUGGUGUCUCCUAGAAGUUUAUGGCCCAUACAGGUAUCUUCCACUGUUGCGGGAAGUCAAGGACCCCGAACAGAGGGACCGGCUGGAGCCUCGGCAGAGGAACAUAAAUUGUGAAGAUUUCAUUUUAAUAUGGACAUUUAUCAGUUCCCAAAUAAUACUUUUAUAAUUUCUUACACUUGUCUUACUUUAAUCUCUUAAUCCUGUUAUCUUCGUAAGCUGAGGAUGUACGUCAGGACCACUGUGAUAAUUGUGUUAACGGUAUAAAUUGAUUGUAAAACGUGUGUUUGAACAAUAUGAAAUUAGUACACCUUGAAAAAGAACAGAAUAACAGUGAUUUUUAGGGAACAAGGGAAGACAACCAUAAGGUCUGACUGCCUGCGGGGUUGGGCAAAAAGAGCCAUAUUUUUCUCUUUGCAGAGAGCCUAUAAAUGGACGUGCGAGUAGGAAAGAUAUCACUGAAUUCUCUUCCUAGCAAGGAAUAUUAAUAUUAAUGCCCUGGGAAAGGAAUGCAUUCCUAGGGGGAGGUCUAUAAACGGCCGCUCUGGGAAUGUCUAUCUUAUGCGGUUGAGAUAAGAACUGAGAUAUGCCCUGGUCUCUGGCAGUACCCUCAGACUUACUAGGGUGGGGAAAAACUCUGCCCUGAUAAAUUUGUGGUCAGACCGGUUCUCUACUCUCGAACCCUGUUUUCUGUUGUUUAAGAUGUUUAUCAAGACAAUACGUGCACCGCUGAACAUAGACCCUUAUCAGUAGUUCUGCUUUUACCCUUUGCCUUGUGCUCAGUAGUUCUGCUUUUGCCCUUUGUCCUGUUCCCUCAGAAGCAUGUGAUCUUUAUUAGAUCCUUAUUAGUAGUUCUGCUUUUUGCCCUUUGAAGCAUGUGAUCUUUGUACCUACUCCCUGUUCUUACACCCUCUCCCCUUUUGAAACCCUUAAUGAAAAACUUGCUGGUUUGAGGCUCAGGUGGGCAUCACGGUCCUACCAAUAUGUGAUGUCACCCCCAGCAGCCCAGCUGUAAAAUUCCUCUCUUUGUACUCUUUCUCUUUAUUUCUCAGCCGGCCA